AUCGGUGCUCAUAGCGCUGGGGAAACGCCUGUUCUCAUUCCGAACACAGAAGCUAAGCCCAGUAGCGGCGAUAAUACUCCUACGGGGGAAGGUAGCACGGCGCCGAAU
rnacentral:rRNA from 1 species